GACGAACGCUGGCGGCGUGCUUAACACAUGCAAGUCGAACGGUAAGGCCCUUCGGGGUACCCGAGUGGCGAACGGGUGAGUAACACGUGGGUAAUCUGCCCUGCACAUCGGGAUAAGCCUGGGAAACUGGGUCUAAUACCGAAUAGGACCACAGGACACAUGUCCUGUGGUGGAAAGCUUUUGCGGUGUGGGAUGGGCCCGCGGCCUAUCAGCUUGUUGGUGGGGUGAUGGCCUACCAAGGCGACGACGGGUAGCCGGCCUGAGAGGGUGUCCGGCCACACUGGGACUGAGAUACGGCCCAGACUCCUACGGGAGGCAGCAGUGGGGAAUAUUGCACAAUGGGCGAAAGCCUGAUGCAGCGACGCCGCGUGGGGGAUGACGGCCUUCGGGUUGUAAACCUCUUUCACCAGCGACGAAGGUCCGGGUUUUCUCGGGCUGACGGUAGGUGGAGAAGAAGCACCGGCCAACUACGUG
rnacentral:rRNA from 1 species